UACGUAGGGUGCGAGCGUUAAUCGGAAUUACUGGGCAUAAAGCGUGCGCAGGCGGUUCGUUGUGUCGGUGGUGAAAGCCCCGGGCUCAACCUGGGAAUGGCCAUGGAAACUGGCGAACUGGAGUGUGGCAGAGGGGGGUGGAAUUCCGCGUGUAGCAGUGAAAUGCGUAGAGAUGCGGAGGAACACCGAUGGCGAAGGCAGCCCCCUGGGCUAGCACUGACGCUCAGGCACGAAAGCGUGGGGAGCAAACAGG
rnacentral:rRNA from 1 species